GGCCUGCUGGCCCAAUGGCAAGGCGCUUGACUACGAUUUCUGAGGAUACUUCUUCCUGAAGACCGGAAUCAAGAGAUUGCAGGUUCGAUCCCUGCGUAGGUCA
rfam:Sclerotinia sclerotiorum 1980 scaffold_1 genomic scaffold, whole genome shotgun sequence.